AACGAACGCUGGCGGCAGGCUUAACACAUGCAAGUCGAACGCCCCGCAAGGGGAGUGGCAGACGGGUGAGUAACGCGUGGGAAUCUACCCAUCUCUGCGGAAUAGCUCCGGGAAACUGGAAUUAAUACCGCAUACGCGCUACGGGGGUAAGAUUUAUCGGGGAUGGAUGAGCCCGCGUUGGAUUAGCUAGUUGGUGGGGUAAAGGCCUACCAAGACGACGAUCCAUAGCUGGUCUGAGAGGAUGAUCAGCCACAUUGGGACUGAGACACGGCCCAAACUCCUACGGGAGGCAGCAGUGGGGAAUAUUGGACAAUGGGCGCAAGCCUGAUCCAGCCAUGCCGCGUGAGUGAUGAAGGCCUUAGGGUUGUAAAGCUCUUUCACCGGUGAAGAUAAUGACGGUAACCGGAGAAGAAGCCCCGGCUAACUUCGUGCCAGCCGCCGCGGUAACAC
rnacentral:rRNA from 1 species